rnacentral:rRNA from 1 species
AUUGAACGCUGGCGGCAUGCCUUACACAUGCAAGUCGAACGGUAACAGGUCUUCGGAUGCUGACGAGUGGCGAACGGGUGAGUAAUACAUCGGAACGUGCCUAGUAGUGGGGGAUAACUACUCGAAAGAGUGGCUAAUACCGCAUGAGAUCUACGGAUGAAAGCAGGGGAUCGCAAGACCUUGUGCUACUAGAGCGGCCGGUGGCAGAUUAGGUAGUUGGUGGGAUAAAAGCUUACCAAGCCGACGAUCUGUAGCUGGUCUGAGAGGACGAUCAGCCACACUGGGACUGAGAAACGGCCCAGACUCCUCCGGGAGGCAGCAGUGGGGAAUUUUGGACAAUGGGCGCAAGCCUGAUCCAGCAAUGCCGCGUGCGGGAUGAAGGCCUUGGGGUUGUAAACUGCUUUUGUACGGAACGAAAAGCCCCGGGUUAAUACCCUGGGGUCAUGACGGUACCGUAAGAAUAAGCACCGGCUAACUACGUGCCAGCCGCCGCCGUAA